rnacentral:rRNA from 1 species
UACAGAGGUCUCAACCGUUGUUCGGAUUCAUUGGGCGUAAAGGGUGCGUAGGCGGUCGCGUAAGCCAGAUGUGAAAUCCCCGGGCUCAACCUGGGAAUGGCAUUUGGGACUGCAAGGCUGGAGUGUGGCAGAGGAGACUGGAAUUCCUGGUGUAGCAGUGAAAUGCGUAGAUAUCAGGAGGAAUACCGAUGGCGAAGGCAGGUCUCUGGGCUGACACUGACGCUCAUGCACGAAAGCGUGGGGAGCAAACAGG